rnacentral:snRNA from 1 species
UUUUCUAGUUUCGCCAUUAC